AGUGAACGCUGGCGGCAGGCCUAACACAUGCAAGUCGAACGGCAGCACAGUAAGAGCUUGCUCUUACGGGUGGCGAGUGGCGGACGGGUGAGGAAUACAUCGGAAUCUACUUUUUCGUGGGGGAUAACGUAGGGAAACUUACGCUAAUACCGCAUACGACCUACGGGUGAAAGCAGGGGAUCUUCGGACCUUGCGCGAUUGAAUGAGCCGAUGUCGGAUUAGCUAGUUGGCGGGGUAAAGGCCCACCAAGGCGACGAUCCGUAGCUGGUCUGAGAGGAUGAUCAGCCACACUGGAACUGAGACACGGUCCAGACUCCUACGGGAGGCAGCAGUGGGGAAUAUUGGACAAUGGGCGCAAGCCUGAUCCAGCCAUACCGCGUGGGUGAAGAAGGCCUUCGGGUUGUAAAGCCCUUUUGUUGGGAAAGAAAAGCAGCAGGUUAAUACCCCGCUGUUCUGACGGUACCCAAAGAAUAAGCACCGGCUAACUUC
rnacentral:rRNA from 1 species